rnacentral:rRNA from 1 species
UACGAAGGGGGCUAGCGUUGCUCGGAAUCACUGGGCGUAAGGGGUGCGUAGGCGGGUCUUUAAGUCAGGGGGGAAAUCCUGGAGCUCAACUCCAGAACUGCCUUUGAUACUGAAGAUCUUGAGUUCGGGAGAGGUGAGUGGAACUGCGAGUGUAGAGGUGAAAUUCGUAGAUAUUCGCAAGAACACCAGUGGCGAAGGCGGCUCACUGGCCCGAUACUGACGCUGAGGCACGAAAGCGUGGGGAGCAAACAGG